rnacentral:rRNA from 1 species
UACGUAGGGGGCUAGCGUUGUCCGGAAUCAUUGGGCGUAAAGAGCGUGUAGGCGGCCAAACAGGUCCGUUGUGAAAACUGGAGGCUCAACCUCCAGACGUCGACGGAAACCGUGUGGCUAGAGUCCGGAAGAGGAGAGUGGAAUUCCUGGUGUAGCGGUGAAAUGCGCAGAUAUCAGGAAGAACACCAAUGGCGAAGGCAGCUCUCUGGGGACGGUACUGACGCUGAGACGCGAAAGCGUGGGGAGCGAACAGG